GAUGAACGCUGGCGACAGGCUUAACACAUGCAAGUCGAGGGGCAGCGGGGGGUUAGCAAUACCCGCCGGCGACCGGCGCACGGGUGAGUAACGCGUAUGCAACUUACCUAUCAGAGGGGGAUAACCCGGCGAAAGUCGGACUAAUACCGCAUGAAGCAGGGAUCCCGCAUGGGAAUAUUUGCUAAAGAUUCAUCGCUGGUAGAUAGGCAUGCGUUCCAUUAGGCAGUUGGCGGGGUAACGGCCCACCAAACCGACGAUGGAUAGGGGUUCUGAGAGGAAGGUCCCCCACAUUGGUACUGAGACACGGACCAAACUCCUACGGGAGGCAGCAGUGAGGAAUAUUGGUCAAUGGCCGAGAGGCUGAACCAGCCAAGUCGCGUGAGGGAUGAAGGUUCUAAUGGAUCGUAAACCUCUUUAAUAAGGGAAUAAAGUAGCGGGAACGUGUCCCGUUUUGUAUAGUACCUUAUGAAUAAGGAUCGGCUAACUCCGU
rnacentral:rRNA from 1 species